AUUGAACGCUGGCGGCAGGCCUAACACAUGCAAGUCGAAUGGUAACAGGAAGCAGCUUGCUGUUUCUCUGACGAGUGGCGGACGGGUGAGUAAUGUCUGGGAAACUGCCUGAUGGAGGGGGAUAACUACUGGAAACGGUAGCUAAUACCGCAUAACGUCGCAAGACCAAAGAGGGGGACCUUCGGGCCUCUUGCCAUCAGAUGUGCCCAGAUGGGAUUAGCUAGUAGGUGGGGUAACGGCUCACCUAGGCGACGAUCCCUAGCUGGUCUGAGAGGAUGACCAGCCACACUGGAACUGAGACACGGUCCAGACUCCUACGGGAGGCAGCAGUGGGGAAUAUUGCACAAUGGGCGCAAGCCUGAUGCAGCCAUGCCGCGUGUAUGAAGAAGGCCUUCGGGUUGUAAAGUACUUUCAGCGGGGAGGAAGGGAGUAAAGUUAAUACCUUUGCUCAUUGACGUUACCCGCAGAAGAAGCACCGGCUAACUCCGUG
rnacentral:rRNA from 1 species